GCCUGUUUGAUCGCACGUUCAACGAGCCGUUAACUCAGGGUGACCUUCGUCAGGACCGUAAUCAUCGCAACGUCUGGUCUACUUAACCAGUAUAUUAUCAACGCCUGAUCUUCAUAUGCUGAAUCGACCUACAACCAGAGAAACCGUUCAUUCAUAACGGGUGAGAGAUCGCUAGUGAACCUGUUGGACAUAUUUUUUCUUCGUCAUAGGAGCCACAUCGAUUAUCAAGUUUUACCUCGCCAGUUCGAGAAGGACAGUUUGCCCGCUGUCAGAAGUAUUGUGAGUACUACAAGUUUGGUAGCUAACUAAAUCGCUCUGUCGUCUUACCCUUGGAGAGAUUCUUGUGGAGCAGUUUGCUCAUUGAACCGGUUGCUUACCACUUUUAUAACGGUCACUGUGUUUAGCCUUUGGAAGGUUAGUGAAGUAAUAUUUAUCAGUGCUGAACAUUGAUAUAUAUAGUAUUCGUCGGUCUAGACCAUAUCUAGACUUGUUAGCAGUGAAGUUGUGGAAACAGCUACAUCCACUUAAUUUCGUUGAAAACCGUUAGUCGUAUAACGGAACGUCGUCGGAGGUGACCUUGGUUUCACCUAGUCUAUAUUGGACAGUUUGGUCUAGUGAAGCAGAGUACAACAGCAAACUUCGUCGUACUACCAGAGUAGCAGCAGAAGCAGUGAACUAUUUUAGAAAGUCGUUAUUCGUCAGCCCAGAUCAAGUCAUCGUCAAGAAAGCCGUUAUUUGUCAGCCCAGACCAAGUCAUCGUCAAGAAAUUCGUUAUUCGUCAGUCGUCCAGAUCAAGUUGCCGUCAAGAGACUGUUAUUUGUCAGUAGUCGCCUACACAAGUCAAGUCAUCGCCAGAAGAACCGUUAACCUAUUCGUCAGUAACUGUGUACACAAAGUCGUCGGAACUACACAUACGGUCAUUAACAGUCGCCGAAGGAACUGAAACAUUUUGCUGUGGCAUAUCAGGACAUCUGUGGCAUUACGUGGGAUACUGGUAGCACCGGAGAACAGAGUCAGAACUGGAAGAGAGGCAGUGGAAUUUGUUGUGAUCUAGCAUAUUCGGGAGUCCGAACAAAGGGAUCUUUCUUAUCAAAAGCUAAGUGCCAUUUUUCUUAUUAGUAUAUGUUUAGAUUGCCCUUAGAAAUAGAUUUUGUCUAAAUUUGGUAUGUUAGCCUGAGUAAAAUCAGGUGGUGCUGAAGCCUUAAACCCGUUCGGGGUAAAGACAUAAUUUAGAUGAAAAACUAUAUUAUACGUUUAGGAUUGUAAUUUGUUUUGUUUGUGUAAACGUCAUAUCCGUUGUUGCCUAGUUACUUCGUGACGUUAUCAUUGUGUGCCAUAUUGUCAUAUCCCAACCCAUAGUGAUAGUCUCAUUUACUUAUUCAUUUGUUUAUAUUAUUUUAAAUUAUUUAUUUUUAUUAAUUUAAUUAGAUCUGUAUUUUUUUUUCACUUAAUGAUAGAAAGUGCGGGUAGGAUUCUUUUACUGUGAAUCAGACUAAAAUAAUUUUAGUUUGAGCGGUUAAAAUCAAAUAUGAUUUUGCCAUGAGAAUAAUGCCGAAACUGGCUAUGUAGUCAAACACUAUCGUCUGGCUAAAUUUAGAUCUACAAAUUGUACAACUCUUUGAUACAUUUGAUUAUCUAGACUCUAAUUUGAGAAUAUUACUAAUUGAAAGAUGAAUGAAGAUUACUGCCAGUGAAGAACACUUGUGACGUGUGACGUGCCCAUAAGAUGCCACAUUUUCCUACAUGAUGAACUGUGUACUAAUGAAGAUGAUUCUGGAAUGUUAUGAUGAACUGUGUACCAAUGAAGAUGAUUCUGGAAUGUUAUGAACAUUGACAUUGAAUAUGAGGAACUGUCAAGUUAGGAUGAAGAAGUCAAGAUGAAGAUGUCAAGAUUUUAUGUUUGUUUGUCUUCCCCUUAAAUUGAAAAUGCCCUUGUAAGACUUGACAGUAGUGGAAAAAUAUUGACAUAUUUUUUUUUCAAGGGGGGGAGGAAUCUGUUAGACACCUUAUUUAUAUAGGUUAGUUAUUUAGCGACGCACCAUAGAAGACGUAUAUUGAACGGGACUAGUGACGUUUGGGAUAUGUUGGGUUAGAGACUGAAAAAUCAGUUAGCGAUAGAACAUUCCAGGGUAACGACGUGUUUAGUGACAGAGACUUCUACUGUGGCCUUUUAUCAGAAUAAAUCCAUGUACAAUUGUU